rnacentral:snRNA from 1 species
GGAGCAGCAGUGAAAGUCUGUCUCCUCACUGAUCACUGGAGUGGACUCGGCUGAUCUGGCUGGCUAGGUGAAUUCUUCAUCUCUCCUCGCAACACCUUUCUGCAAACCUCGCAAAGCUGCCACACUGAGACAAGGAGUACUGUGCUCUAUGCCAGGCCCAGCAGAGUCUCCUUCUAGAUCCUCCAAACGAGAUAAAAGUCCUUUUGUAGGACAUGGAGCAGCCAACCUCUCAAGUCUUGACACAUGUCCAGAUGAAAGCCUGCAUACAGCAAUUUUCCUUU